UGUGCUCAGAAAGGAGAGGGCUGG
rnacentral:piRNA from 1 species